GGCACUGUACUUUAGAUAGAAGAUUUGGUUUGCAACUAAACAGAGGAAAUGUCCCAGUACCU
rnacentral:tRNA from 1 species